CAUCAUAACAAUAUGGCGUCACCUCUAUUACAGCAAUAAUAAGAAACCUUAAAAACAUUUUUUUUUUUCGGCUUAAUAUUAAUUUGCGAUAGUACAGCUUUGGAGGGUAGGUUAAUGAGCCUAUUGUCUAAGAUAUUUGGAAAAGUCAUACAUCACAUCAGUUGUUUGGCAAGAGUGGGAAAGAUUUCUAAGCUAAAACGUUUACCGAACAUGUCUAAGUCAAAGAUCGUAGUAGAGACUUAAAGAGGCGCCAUCCCCUCAACAACAGCAACUAAACAACUUCCAUCUGUUUUUGUGUUACCUAGGACAAUAUGUGUAAACUAUGCACCCACUUUUUUAAAAUUUCGAAUCGCAGAAUAGCAGUGGGAAACAACUGAUGAGCCCACCAAGUGUUUGUAGGAAUACAACUGACGAGCCCACCAAGUGUUUGUAGGAAUACAACUGA